AUGGAGGAGGGGGCCCUGGGCCUGCAGCAGGGCCAGCCGAUGGCACCUGAAAGUGACAGGGUGACCAGGCAGGCCCGGGGGAGCACCCCCAGGGCACACCCAGGAGCAGAGGCGGAGAAAGGACAGGGCAGGAGAAGGAGAAGCCUUCGAGCAGCCUCAGGCCCGUGGCCCAGCCCAUCCACCAGCAGGGACAGCGGGCAGCUCGGCGCGCCUGACUGGGUGCCAGGGGCUGCAGCUUUAAAUAAACUUGGACCAGUCCACCUGGGCCGGGAGGCAGCACCAACUGUGCCCCGGCCAGCCCUGUCAACAACUAGCCAGCAUGGCCGCUGCGGAUCCCGCCUGCACGGCCCCGGCCCCCUCCCCACAUGCUGCCUGACCCCAGGCAUUCCCCUGGGGCCAGACAGGCUCAGCUGGGCUGAGCUGACCGAUGCUGGCUGCGACGCCCCCUCUUGUCCCAAGUCGCUGCAGGCCCCUCACAUCGCACCCACUCCCUUCCAGCCGCUCCUCCUGCCCACCUGGGAAGCAGUGAGCGAUUCCAGCCCCCACCUGCCCCUCCAGGAGAGUCAGCCCCAGACACCUCUACUCUCAGGGUGGCGGCAGCUGCCGAUAACCAGUUGCUGUUGGGACGGGAGGCUGGGGGCGGGGGGACCCAGCCAGCCCGAGCUGCGGCCAGGGAAGGUGGCCAUGCCACAGGGAAGACAGGAGACAUGGAAUGAGCCUGGGCUGGGGCCCCCGACUCGCCAGGGGCUGCCCUGGCAGAUGCCAAGGGUGAGGGCCUGUGUGAUUCCGGACACAGUGGAGGAGAGGCCACGAAGGUCCCUGGAAGUGACCACUGCCCUCUUCCCGGGACAGCCCGCCACCUGCCUGACCCACAGCAUGGAGACAGCACCGGGGACACAGGGCAGCGGGGGGGGUCUGAGCACCACUGGGUCAGACCCAGGGCUCCCACGUGGACCCCCAGCCCACCCAGCACCCUCUUCCUCUCUGCCUCCGGCCCAGCCUGCCCCGGAAGGUUGUUCCUUCCAGGGCGGCCCUCCACAGCCAACAGGCCUCCGCCAAGGGGUCCUGAGCUGCCCCUAUCCCCUCACUUCCACCCUAGGCCGCCCCCAGGCCUGCUUGACCUGGGGUGUCCCCACGUGCAGAGAGAAGAAGGAAGGCGCGCAGCGCACCCCUCCCGCGGCUGCUCCACAAUUAUCAGCCAUCAGCGUCCCUCGCCCACCACAAGCUUCCACCAGGCGCUUUUUUAGUAAAGGGGAAAAAAGGAUCUGCCGCUGCAAGUGUAAGAGGAAAUUUUUGCUUUUCGCCCCCCCCCCCAGGAGAACUGGG
rnacentral:lncRNA from 1 species